rnacentral:rRNA from 1 species
GCAUAACGCGAAGAACCUUACCUGGCCUUGACAUUGAUAGAAUCUGCUAGAGAUAGCGGAGUGCCCUUCGGGGAGCUUGAAAACAGGUGCUGCACGGCUGUCGUCAGCUCGUGUCGUGAGAUGUUGGGUUAAGUCCCGCAACGAGCGCAACCCUCGUCACUAGUUACUAACGGUUCGGCCGAGGACUCUAGUGAGACUGCCUUCGUAAGGAGGAGGAAGGCGAGGACGACGUCAAGUCAUCAUGGCCCUUACGGCCAGGGCGACACACGUGCUACAAUGGGAUGUACAAUGAGACGCAAUACCGCGAGGUGGAGCAAAUCUAUAAAACAUCUCUCAGUUCGGAUUGUAGUCUGCAACUCGACUACAUGAAGCUGGAAUCACUAGUAAUCGUAGAUCAGCCAUGCUACGGUGAAUACGUUCCCGGGUCUUGUACACACCG